UACAGAGGGGGCAAGCGUUGUUCGGAAUUACUGGGCGUAAAGGGCGCGUAGGCGGCCUUCUAAGUCGAACGUGAAAUCCCCGGGCUCAACCCGGGAACUGCGUCCGAUACUGGAAGGCUUGAAUCCGGGAGAGGGAUGUGGAAUUCCAGGUGUAGCGGUGAGAUGCGUAGAUAUCUGGAGGAACACCGGUGGCGAAGGCGGCAUCCUGGACCGGCAUUGACGCUGAGGCGCGAAAGCCAGGGGAGCAAACGGG
rnacentral:rRNA from 1 species